CAAACGGCCCUUUUCAGGGCCACCCAAUUCUUAAAAGAGAGUUAUU
rfam:Aedes aegypti strain Liverpool supercont1.365 genomic scaffold, whole genome shotgun sequence.